rnacentral:rRNA from 1 species
UAACGAAGGGGGCUAGCGUUGCUCGGAAUCACUGGGCGUAAGGGUGCGUAGGCGGGUCUUUAAGUCGAGGGGAUGAAAUCCUGGAGCUCAACUCCAGAACUGCCUUUGAUACUGAGGAUCUUGAGUCGGGAGAGGUGAGUGGAACUGCGAGUUGUAGAGGUGAAAAUUCGUAGAUAUUCGCAAGAACAUCCAGUGGCGUAAGGCGACUCACUGGCCCGAUAACUGGACGCUG